rnacentral:rRNA from 1 species
GAUGAACGCUGGCGGCGUGCCUAAUACAUGCAAGUCGAGCGAAUGGGUUAAGAGCUUGCUCUUAUGAAGUUAGCGGCGGACGGGUGAGUAACACGUGGGUAACCUGCCCAUAAGACUGGGAUAACUCCGGGAAACCGGGGCUAAUACCGGAUAACAUUUUGAACCGCAUGGUUCGAAAUUGAAAGGCGGCUUCGGCUGUCACUUAUGGAUGGACCCGCGUCGCAUUAGCUAGUUGGUGAGGUAACGGCUCACCAAGGCAACGAUGCGUAGCCGACCUGAGAGGGUGAUCGGCCACACUGGGACUGAGACACGGCCCAGACUCCUGCGGGAGGCAGCAGUAGGGAGUCUUCCGCAAUGGACGAAAGUCUGACGGAGCAACGUCGCGUGAGUGAUGAAGGCUUUCGGGUCGUAAAACUCUGUUGUUAGGGAAGAACAAGUGCUAGUUGAAUAAGCUGGCACCUUGACGGUACCUAACCAGAAAGCCACGGCUAACUACGUGCCAGCCGCCGCAGUAA